ACCUUCGUGGUGUAAUGGUCAGCACACCUGGCGCGUAUUCAAGAGGUCCGCAGUUCGAGUCCCGGCGAGGGCA
rfam:Stegodyphus mimosarum contig97548, whole genome shotgun sequence.